rnacentral:rRNA from 1 species
GACGAACGCUGGCGGCGUGGAUUAGGCAUGCAAGUCGAACGGUAUCAUCCUUUCGGGGGUGAGAGAGUGGCGAACUGGUGAGUAACACGUAGGUUAUCUACCCUCAAGACGGGGACAACCCAGGGAAACUUGGGCUAAUACCGGAUGUGAGCAACUUUUAGUUGUUUGAAAGGUGGCGUAAGCUGUCGCUUGGGGAUGAGCCUGCGUCCUAUUAGUUAGUUGGUGAGGUAACGGCUCACCUAGGCAAUGAUAGGUAGGCGGCCUUAACGGGUGGUCGCCCACACUGGGAUUGAGAUACGGCCCAGACUCCUACGGGAGGCAGCAGUCGAGAAUAGUCUACAAUGGUCGGAAGUCUGAUAGUGCGACGCCGCGUGAACGAAGAAUCCCUUCGGGUGUAAAGUUCUUUUAUACGUGAGCAGUGUCCUUUAUAUUAAUAGUAUAAGGGGAGAGAUAUUAGCGUAUGAAUAAGCAACGGCUAACUCCGUG